UACGAAGGGGGCUAGCGUUGCUCGGAAUCACUGGGCGUAAAGGGUGCGUAGGCGGGUUUUUAAGUCAGAGGUGAAAUCCUGGAGCUCAACUCCAGAACUGCCUUCGAUACUGGCGAUCUCGAGUCCGGAAGAGGUGAGUGGAACUCCUAGUGUAGAGGUGGAAUUCGUAGAUAUUAGGAAGAACACCAGUGGCGAAGGCGGCUCACUGGUCCGGUACUGACGCUGAGGUGCGAAAGCGUGGGGAGCAAACAGG
rnacentral:rRNA from 1 species